AGAGUUUGAUCCUGGCUCAGAACGAACGUUGGCGGCGUGGAUUAGGCAUGCAAGUCGAGCGAGAUUAACCUUUUUCAAUUCUUCGGAAAAGAAGUUGGUUAUGACAGCGGCGAACGGGUGAGUAAUAUAUGGGUAAUUUGCCCCUAAGUUCGGAAUAGCCAUUGGAAACGAUGUGUAAUGCCGGAUGUGAUCAUCUACCGCAUGGUAGAUUGUUUAAAGGCUGGGAAUCUUCGGAUCCAGUCGUUUAGGGAUGAGCCCAUAUCCUAUCAGCUUGUUGGUGAGGUAAUGGCUCACCAAGGCUUACGGGUAGCCGGCCUGAGAGGGUGAUCGGCCACACUGGGACUGAGACACUGCCCAGACUCCUACGGGAGGCUGCAGUCGAGAAUCAUUGACAAUGUACGAAAGUAUGAUCAUGCGACGCCGCGUGGAGGAAGACGGCCUUCGGGUUGUAAACUCCUGUCAGCAGGGAGGAAAGACAGCAGCAUUAAUAGUGUUGUUGUUUGACAGUACCUGCAGAGGAAGUACACGCUAACU
rnacentral:rRNA from 1 species